GGUUUUGAGGCACGUUGAACACGCUAGGAGGCCGAUACUGCCUCGACAGAGAGCAAGGCCAUAGACCCAGUCCAGGAUUUCACCUAGGUUUUGUUGAAGGAUAGGAGGAGAGCAAAGGAUCGAGGUUAUCUUGGAAGUUCCGUUGGUGGUCUAGCAGUUUAUGCCUUGGCAUCUGCAAUAGAAAAGUUCUGCAAUGGUCACAUGGCCAUAAACCGUGGGUACAACCAAUGAUGUGACAGCCUUUCUAAUCCUUGGAAGAAGUCAGAUAAAAGACUUAGCGACUCCGAUAUUUUAAGAGUGGGUCAAAAAUUUAAUACAGUGAUGAUGAUUAACAGGGGAAUGGAGGCACCCAUUUUUGUUAUUUGGAAAAUUCAGGCAGUGCGACUACCAAUAUGCUCAUGACUAGAGCAGAAGACCUCUUAAUUAGUAUUGGAAUAAUAACAUAAAAGG